rnacentral:lncRNA from 1 species
UUAGAUUAACACCAUCCACCGCUGCAGGGCUCAGCAUGGCACCUUGUACAUGGCGCUAAGCAGAUGCUGCUUGAGAAGAGCAAAUGUUCGUGUCCGGGAAACCAUGUCUCUCCUUGGUCCACAGAGCCCUGCCUGCCCCAGGAAAGGACAGCGUUGGGAGGCUCCCCCGCGAGGUCUCAUCUAGCUGGACACCUACGAGCCAUCCAUCUCCUUGGAAAUACACCCUUCUCCCAAUUUCGCUGACGCUGAGAGGCCCAGACAAUUGGAGAGGAGUGGAUUUUCCAUCUGAAUUAAGCAGCUCCUUUGACACGCCUCCCCUCUCCCUUUGCAUGGCCUUGGUUAAGAACUAGGAUUUCCUCGUCCUCGCUCCCUGUCCCCCAGGCAGCAGCCCCCAGACUACUCCGCGAUCCUCCCAGCUCCCGGCACCGGGCGUCCUCCCCUUUAAGGACCGCCCUUCCCCCACACCACGCCUCCCCAGGCCACGCCCCCCGCCCCUCCCCUUUAAGGACCGGCCCCGGACGCAGACGAGGCUGUGACGCGGCCGCCGGCCGGGGUAGGUACUUGUCAGCGCGGCCGCUUCCCCGCCGGCGGCCCCGCCGCCCCGCGGUCCCCAGAGCGCC